rnacentral:lncRNA from 1 species
CAUGCCUAGCUUCUUCAUCGCUUCAAUCUCAUCAGGCCUCAUCUCUAUGCCAAAUUGAAAUGAAGCCAAAAAGCAAAAAAGAUUAGGAAGAAACAAAAGGGUACGGAUCACCCAAUCCGACCUUUACCUCAGGGAUCGGUGGGGCUAAGGCUGAUAUUGAAGAGAGUUUGCUCUGACAACAGCUCUGGCAAUACCAGAAUUUUACUACCAUGUAGUUGGAGUGUUGUCUAUCUUGAUCAUGUAGCUUGGGAGCUCAAAGGUUAGAC